AGUUCCUUAUGGGCCUAGACUCUC
rnacentral:siRNA from 1 species